GCCGCCGCCUGUCGCGCACUUGCUAGCGGACUAGAGCUGGCCGCAUGGAGCCCGAGCUGGAGCAUACACUGCCUAGGACUCUGACUUGGAGCCACACUGGGGGUCCAGAGAGUCAAGAGAUGGACUUCUUAGAACAAGGAGAAAACUCAUGGUCAUCUCCAGCUGUGGACACCAGCUCAGAAAGAACCUGUGCCAUUCGGGGAGUCAAGGCUGCCAGAUGGACGAGACAGGAGGCUGUGGAGGAGGCAGAGCCACCGGGCUUGGGAGGUGCCCAGUCCAGACCAGCUGCUGAUUCCACCAGGCAGGAGGCCACAUUCCCAAAGGCCACACCCUUGGCUCAAGCUGUUCCCUUGGCUGAAGUGGAGACCUCCCCCACAGGGUGGGACCUGCUCUUGCCCAACUGUGCAGCCUCGAGAGUGGGCUCUAGCACAGGUGACCUGGAGCUGACCAUAGAGUUCCCAGCCCCAGAAGCCUGGGACUGUGAGCUCGAAGGCCUGGGGGAGGACAGGCCUCGGCCUUGCCCAUCCCCACAGGCCCCACUCCUCAGCCUGAGCUGGGAUGAUGAGCUUCAGAAGCCUGGAGCCCAGGUCUAUAUGCACUUCAUGCAGGAACACACUUGUUACGACGCCAUGGCCACCAGCUCCAAACUGGUCAUCUUUGACACCACGCUGGAGAUAAAGAAGGCUUUCUUUGCCAUGGUGGCCAAUGGUGUGAGGGCAGCCCCUCUGUGGGACAGCAAGAAGCAGAGCUUUGUGGGCAUGCUCACCAUCACAGACUUCAUCCUGGUGCUGCACCGUUACUACAGAUCCCCCCUGGUCCAGAUCCAUGAGAUUGAAGAACAUAAGAUUGAGACCUGGAGGGAGAUCUACCUACAAGGCUGCUUCAAGCCUCUAGUCUCCAUCUCUCCCAAUGACAGUCUGUUUGAAGCUGUCUAUGCCCUCAUCAAGAACCGAAUCCACCGCCUGCCGGUCCUGGACCCUGUCUCCGGCACUGUGCUCUACAUACUCACGCACAAGCGGCUACUCAAGUUUCUGCAUAUAUUUGGUGCCCUGUUGCCCCGGCCCUCCUUCCUCUGCCGAACUAUUCAAGACUUGGGCAUCGGCACAUUCCGAGACUUAGCUGUAGUUCUGGAAUCGGCUCCUGUCCUGACUGCGCUGGACAUCUUUGUGGACCGACGUGUGUCUGCACUGCCUGUGGUCAAUGAAUCUGGUCAGGUCGUGGGCCUCUAUUCCCGCUUUGAUGUCAUUCAUCUGGCUGCCCAGCAAACUUAUAACCACCUAGACAUGAGUGUGGGAGAAGCUCUGAGGCAGAGGACACUGUGUCUGGAGGGAGUUCUCUCCUGCCAGCCCCACGAGAGCCUAGGUGAAGUCAUUGACAGGAUUGCGCGGGAACAGGUACAUAGGCUGGUGUUGGUGGAUGAGACCCAGCAUCUUCUGGGCGUGGUCUCCCUCUCUGACAUACUUCAAGCACUGGUACUCAGCCCUGCUGGCAUCGAUGCCCUCAGUGCCUGAGACAUGAGUCCUCACACCCAAGCCAUCUUCUUCACCUGAAAACCAACGAAAGGAUCUUGGAACUUGAAGGGGAAUUGGUCUUCAUCUUCCCUCACCCCUAUCUGCUGGCUCUGUUCUGGUACAGGCUCUCCAACCUCCUCUAAUUGUCCUUGUUACACCUAUACUCUUAGAAGCCUUUGAGCAUGCCCAGUGCACCAGGAUGAUGUAAGAACCAUGGAGUCGAGCCUGCAAGUCCCUGAACCAGAGACCCUGCAAUCAGUCUUGGAUCAUCUGUGUACCCUGUCCCUGCUUACUCCUUUCUCUGAUCCUGGGUCAGGGUUGAGCUCAGUGGGGCUGUGAGACUGCAGCCUAUGGAUUUAGAUGGGGGCUUGAAAUGCUUGGUCUCUGGACCAUGUGCACUCAUGUUUUCAGCUCCCGGGAGCCCUGGCUGUUCUUCCCCUGUGGGAGCUACCUUUGUAUCACCACCAUCCACCAGCCUACUCUCCUGGGACUUUCAAGAUGCUUGAGGCCAACAUUGAAAAGGCCUUGAUUCUAGAGCUGUCU